AGCCCUGACAUACAGAGUGCCUGAUGUCAUAUCCAGGGGCCCCAUCCUCCCCAACCCUGACAUACAGAGUGCAUGAUGUCAUAUCCAGGGGCCCAUCCUCCCCAGCCCUGACAUACAGAGUGUAUGAUGUCAUAUCUAAGGCCCAUCCUCCCCAGCCCUGACAUACAGAGUGUAUGAUGUCAUAUCCAGGAGCCCCAUCCUCCCCAGCCCUGACAUACAGAGUGCAUGAUGUCAUAUCCUCCCCAGCCCUGACAUACAGAGUGCAUGAUGUCAUAUCCAGGGCCCCAUCCUGCCCAGCCCUGACAUACAGAGUGCAUGAUGUCAUAUCCUGCCCAGCCCUGACAUACAGAGUGUAUGAUGUUAUAUCCAAGGGACCCAUCCUGCCCAGCCCUGACAUACAGAGUGUAUGAUGUCAAGUAUCCAGGCCCCAUCCUCCCCAGCCCUGACAUACAGAGUGCAUGAUGUCAUAUCCAG